UACGUAGGGUGCAAGCGUUGUCCGGAAUUAUUGGGCGUAAAGAGCGUGUAGGCGGCCCCGUUAGUCCGCUGUGAAAGUCCAGGGCUCAACCCUGGAAUGCCGGUGGAUACUGUGGGGCUAGAGUCCGGAAGGGGCGAGUGGAAUUCCUGGUGUAGCGGUGAAAUGCGCAGAUAUCAGGAGGAACACCAAUGGCGAAGGCAGCUCGCUGGGACGUGACUGACGCUGAGACGCGAAAGCGUGGGGAGCAAACAGG
rnacentral:rRNA from 1 species